rnacentral:rRNA from 1 species
GACGAACGCUGGCGGCGUGCUUAACACAUGCAAGUCGAACGGUGAAGGGACCGGUUUUUGCUGGUUCUGGAUGAGUGGCGAACGGGUGAGUAACACGUGAGUAACCUGCCCCCUUCUUCUGGAUAACCGCAUGAAAGUGUGGCUAAUACGGGAUAUUCUGCGCCUGCUGCAUGGUGGGUGUGGGAAAGAUAUUGUUUCGGUGGGGGAUGGGCUCGCGGCCUAUCAGCUUGUUGGUGGGGUGAUGGCCUACCAAGGCGGUGACGGGUAGCCGGCCUGAGAGGGUGGACGGUCACACUGGGACUGAGACACGGCCCAGACUCCUACGGGAGGCAGCAGUGGGGAAUAUUGCACAAUGGGCGCAAGCCUGAUGCAGCGACGCCGCGUGAGGGAUGGAAGCCUUCGGGUUGUAAACCUCUUUCGCCAGUGAAGCAGGCCUGUCCCUUUUGUGGGUGGGUUGACGGUAGCUGGAUAAGAAGCGCCGGCUAACUACGUG